AGUUCGAUCAUGAAUAAGUUAAGGACACUGGCGGGAUCACCAUGCAAGUCGAACAGCGGCACGGACUUCGGUCAGUGGCGAGUGGCGAACGGGUGAGUAAUGUAUCGGAACGAUGACACCUAGUAGCAGGGGAUAACUACGCCAGGCGUAGCCUAAUACCGCAUACGCCCUUCGGGGAAAGCGAGGGGACCUUCGGGCCUCGCGUAUAAUAAGAGCGACGAUAUCGGAUUAGCUAGUUGGUGGGAAGUAACAGCUCACCAAGGCGACGAUCAUGGUGACUGGUUAUUGAGAGGACGACCAGCCACGUGGGGCUGAAGACCAGCCCGGACUCCUGCGGACGGCGGUGGGAAUUUUUGGACAAUGGGGCGUGGGAUGACAUCCCGCGUGUGCGAUGAAGGCCUUCCAGGUUGUAAAGCACUUUGGCGGGAGAAACAGCACAGGAUAAUACCCCGUGCGGCUGACUGAUACCUGCAGAAUAGCCACCGGCUAACUACGUGCCGCUUGGCCGCGGUAAUACGUAGGGUGCAAGCGUUAAUCGGAAUUACUGGGCGUAAAGCGUGCGCGAGCGGUUCGGAAGAAGAUGUGAUUAGGCUUAACUUUGGAACUGCAUUUUUAACUACCGAGCUAGGAUGUGUCAGAGGGAGGUGGAAUUCCGCGUGUAGCAGUGAAAUGCGCCGAUGGCGGAGGAACACCGAUGGCGAAGGCAGCCUCCUGGGAUAACACUGACGCUCAUGCACGAAAGCGUGGGGAGCAAACAGGAUUAAGUGGUAGUCCCACGCCCUAAACGAUGUCCAAUAGCUGUUGGGGCCCUUCAGGCCUUAGUAGCACAACGCGUGAAGUUGACCGCCUGGGAGUGGUCGCAAGAUUAAAACUCAAAGGAAUUGACGGGGACCCGCACAAGCGGUGGAUGAUGUGGAUUAAUUCGAUGCAACGCGAAAACCUUACCUACCCUUGACGAUAUCUGGAAUCCCAGAGAUUUGGGAGUGCUCGCAGAGAACCGGAACACAGGUGCUGCAUGGCUGUCGUCAGCUCGUGUCGUGAGAUGUUGGGUUAAGUCCCACUGUAGGCGCAACCCUUGUCAUUAGUUGCUACGAAAGGGCACUCGUAAUAGAACUACUGGUGACAAACCGGAGGAAGGUGGGGAUGACGUCAAGUCCUCAUAGCCAUAUGGGUAGGGCUUCACACGUCAUACAAUGGUCGGGACAGAGGGUCGCCAACCCGCGAGGGGGAGCCAAUCCCAGAAACCCGAUCGUAGUCCGGAUCGCAGUCUGCAACUCGACUGCGUAGAAGUCAGAAUCAUAGUAAUCGCGGAUCAGCAUGUCGCGGUGAAUACGUUCCGGGUCUUGUACACACCGUCCGUCACACCAUGGGAGUGGGUUUACCAGAAGUAGUUAGCCUAACCGUAAGGAGGGCGAUUACCACAGUAGGAUUCAUGACUGGGGUGAAGUCGUAACAGGGUAG
rnacentral:rRNA from 1 species